UUAGAGUUUGAUCCUGGCUCAGGAUUAACGCUGGCGGCAUGCCUAAUACAUGCAAGUCGAACGGAAAAUAUAGAAGUGCUUGCACAUUUAUAUUUUUAGUGGCGAACGGGUGAGUAAUAUAUAGAUAACCUACCUUCCAGUUGGGGAUAACAGAGGGAAACUUCUGCUAAUACCGAAUAUGAUAAAGAAACACAAGUAAUUUUAUUGAAAGGGGCUCCAAAGCCUCGCUAGAAGAGGGGUCUAUAUCGCAUUAGCUAGUUGGUAAGAUAACAGCCUACCAAGGCGAUGAUGCGUAGCUGUACUGAGAGGUAGAACAGCCACAUUGGGACUGAGAUACGGCCCAAACUCCUACGGGAGGCAGCAGUAGGGAAUUUUCGGCAAUGGGGGGAACCCUGACCGAGCAAUGCCGCGUGAUUGAAGACGGUCUUCGGACUGUAAAGAUCUGUUAUUAGGGAAGAAUUUUUACUUUAGGAAAUGGAAGUAAAUUGACGGUGCCUAAUGAGGAAGCCCCGGCUAACUAUGUGCCAGCAGCCGCGGUAAUACAUAGGGGGCAAGCGUUAUCCGGAAUUAUUGGGCGUAAAGGGUACGUAGGCGGGCUUGCAAGUCUGAUUUGAAAGCACAUGGCUUAACCAUGUGAGGUAAUUAGAAACUACGAGUCUAGAGAGUGGUAGAGGUAAAUGGAAUUCCAAGUGGAGCGGUGAAAUGCGUAGAGAUUUGGAGGAACACCAGUGGCGAAGGCGGUUUACUGGGCCACAUCUGACGCUGAUGUACGAAAGCGUGGGGAGCAAACAGGAUCAGAUACCCUGGUAGUCCACGCCGUA
rnacentral:rRNA from 1 species